rnacentral:tmRNA from 1 species
GGGGCUGAAAUAGGUUCGACAAGGGGAUCCGUGGUCGGCGUCAGCAGGCGGAGUUGCGAGCUCUCCUUAAACGAUCGCACGGCAAUAUCUGCCAACAACGAAUACGCACUGGCUGCCUAAUCUAGGCUAGUCACCGGACGCAGAGGGUCGGCCCGAAUCGCUCUGCUCUCCGGUCAACAACUCGGGCUGGUGCGCGCGUGUGAUUCGGCGCGCGUACGAGAAACAGGAUCUGCAGCGCGCGGUAAGCCCCGCUUCGAGGCGUACGCGCGAUCAAGUCAAACUCGAAGCUGAGCCUGGAGAACGCGCCGGUUAGGCUUCUUGGACUCGGGGGGCAGUACCCCGACAGCUCCACCA